GACGAACGCUGGCGGCGUGCUUAACACAUGCCAGUCGAACGGAAAGGCCCUGCUUUUGUGGGGUGCUCGAGUGGCGAACGGGUGAGUAACACGUGAGUAACCUGCCCUUGACUUUGGGAUAACUUCAGGAAACUGGGGCUAAUACCGGAUAGGAGCUCCUGCUGCAUGGUGGGGGUUGGAAAGUUUCGGCGGUUGGGGAUGGACUCGCGGCUUAUCAGCUUGUUGGUGGGGUAGUGGCUUACCAAGGCUUUGACGGGUAGCCGGCCUGAGAGGGUGACCGGCCACAUUGGGACUGAGAUACGGCCCAGUCUCCUACGGGAGGCAGCAGUGGGGAAUAUUGCACAAUGGGCGGAAGCCUGAUGCAGCAACGCCGCGUGCGGGAUGACGGCCUUCGGGUUGUAAACCGCUUUCGCCUGUGACGAAGCGUGAGUGACGGUAAUGGGUAAAGAAGCACCGGCUAACUACGUG
rnacentral:rRNA from 1 species